GAUGAAGAACGUAGCGAAAUGCGAUAAGUAAUGUGAAUUGCAGAAUUCAGUGAAUCAUCGAAUCUUUGAACGCACAUUGCGCCCCUUGGUAUUCCGAGGGGCAUGCCUGUUCGAGCGUCAUUAUAACCCCUCAAGCUCAGCUUGGUGUUGGGGCCUGCUGCACUGGCAGCCCUUAAAAUCAGUGGCGGCGCCAUCUGGCUCUAAGCGUAGUAAUUCUUCUCGCUAUGGAGUCCUGGUGGAUGCUUGCCAUCAACCCCCAAUUUCUCUAUGGUUGACCUCGGAUCAGGUAGGGAUACCCGCUGAACUUAAGCAUAUCAAUAAGCGGAGGA
rnacentral:misc_RNA from 1 species